rnacentral:rRNA from 1 species
UACGUAGGUGGCAAGCGUUGUCCGGAAUUAUUGGGCGUAAAGCGCGCGCAGGCGGUCAUUUAAGUCUGGUGUUUAAUCCCGGGGCUCAACCCCGGAUCGCACUGGAAACUGGGUGACUUGAGUGCAGAAGAGGAGAGUGGAAUUCCACGUGUAGCGGUGAAAUGCGUAGAUAUGUGGAGGAACACCAGUGGCGAAGGCGACUCUCUGGGCUGUAACUGACGCUGAGGCGCGAAAGCGUGGGGAGCAAACAGG